rnacentral:rRNA from 1 species
GACGAACGCUGGCGGCGUGCUUAACACAUGCAAGUCGAACGGAAAGGCCUCUUUCGGGGGGUACUCGAGUGGCGAACGGGUGAGUAACACGUGAGUAACCUGCCCUUGACUUUGGGAUAACUUCAGGAAACUGGGGCUAAUACCGGAUAGGAGCUCCUGCUGCAUGGUGGGGGUUGGAGAGUUUCGGCGGUUGGGGAUGGACUCGCGGCUUAUCAGCUUGUUGGUGGGGUAGUGGCUUACCAAGGCUUUGACGGGUAGCCGGCCUGAGAGGGUGACCGGCCACAUUGGGACUGAGAUACGGCCCAGACUCCUACGGGAGGCAGCAGUGGGGAAUAUUGCACAAUGGGCGGAAGCCUGAUGCAGCAACGCCGCGUGCGGGAUGACGGCCUUCGGGUUGUAAACCGCUUUCGCCUGUGACGAAGCGUGAGUGACGGUAAUGGGUAAAGAAGCACCGGCUAACUACGUG